rnacentral:lncRNA from 1 species
CCCCAAGCUUGUCCCUGAGCAAACAGCUAAACUCAGACGGAUCAGGAGUUGCUUCGAUGUUUUCUUUCCUGACAGGCACACAUGCUUUUACAUAAAAAUUCCUCCAGAUUAAAGUGAAGUGUUAUGAAGUUUAGUACCUGCACUUAAGUCUUAAGUAAUCGAAAGACAAAAUAGUUAAGUCAAGCACUAUCCCUCCUAUCUAUACUUCACCUUUGUUCCAGAGUUUUUCAUAAGUUUUCAAAAUAAAAUUCAGAGUUCCCAGCAAUGAUUCUCUCAAGUCUCUCUAUAUGUGGUAUUUGUGGAUCCUUACCAUAAUGUCACUUACCUAUAGCUAAUGGAAUAUUUAAGUGGAGCUCAUAGGAGUGGAAAACAGCUCAUACAUAUGUUGUCUAAUCGAGCCAUGGAUCCAAAGGAACACAACAUAUAAUUAAAUCAAGAUGUGCAUGUGUGGUGGAGUAAAUGAUAGUGAUGGUGAAAAUGCAUAAGUGAUAAUAAAACUUAGUUCUCAUUGCUCCUCAUAUUGCUAUCUCUUCUCCUCUUUGAGCUUUGCUUUGGGAGAACAUGAGGUAUCUUUUUUUCUUCUUUUUUUCAGGUGGGUAGUAGAUACCCCUAAUUCUACUGUCGGGCACUUGUCUAUUUUUUUCGCUCAAGUGGGUAUUUUUGUACCCCUAAUUCUACUUCGGACACUUGUCUAUUUUUACCUCUCGUCUCACUCUUUUUCUUUUUCGAGGUUUCGGGCACUUGCCCCUUUUUAUUUCCUCGUAUAUUUUUGCAUAACCCAUGCCUCUUCUGCAUUGAAUCUUUUUAGAGAGAGAAUAACAGUACUUGGGACAGUGAGUGAUAAUAUUUUUUAGCAAUUUUAAUGAUUGAUAAUGAAUGCUGUGGUAGAUGUGUGCAAGUGAAUAUCUUAAUUUAACCACAUGAAAAGCUCCUAAGGGUCUACACAGCUCGAUCAAACUCAAUGUAAAUAUAGUGAAAGAUGUUAUAGCAAGUAUGGCUGUGGGAGGUAGUUUGUUAUGCUAGGAACUCAUCAUGUGAUUUGUAAAUUUUCAAAAUAAAUCUCCAGAACUUAGUGUAGUAGGAACAAGAUAAACAGUAGCUCAACUUUAUAUCAUGCCUUUCUCUUACCUAGACUUUAGUUUGAUGCUUCCCAAAGAUAGUAAUUUCAAUUUUAGUAAUUCCUGGAAGAACUCUAAUAUAAAAGCUAGGUACUUGAAAGUAAGCAAACAGAGCAACUGUUCAUCAUUUCCAUCAUGCAUAUUUUUGGUCUUUUUAUUUUUUCUAGAGAUUAAACUUAGCAGAAAAAUAAAGCACACUUAUCUACACACUCUUUUUAUUUUGUUUUCAUGUUUAUAAAGUGCAGUAAAUUAAAGCAAGAAAAUAUUUAUUUGGUUUUCUAAGUUUUUUUUCCUUUCAAGAUAAAUUAAAUACUAAGACAAAAUAGAAUAAAUAAGAAGAGCAAAUAGAAACUUACUUGAUAAAUUUGGAGGGAUGUUGAUGUCGGUCUUACCCGAUGUUCCAGAACCGUAUCAUGGUUGUGAUGUUGUCGUUCAUUGUUGUUGUAUCUUGUCUCAGCUCUUCUACUGCAGCGGCAUGGUCCUGGUUCCAUUUUUGUUGCUCUUCCAGGAGUCUUCCAUGUUCUGCUUGCGUGUUCUGGAUGUCGAGGAGGGUGUUGUCGGUACGAGUGAAGAAAGCACCGGCCACUUGAUAGUAGUCAUUCGUGAAGACGUAGGAGGCGUCGGAGUAUCGUCCUGCAUCAAAUUGAGGUGGAGGUCUGGAUCCUGAAGCUCCAUAUGGAUCAGUGGAAUACCUGCCCGUAUGAAAAGGCGGGUUUGUCCACUGGUGAUCUUGG